rnacentral:rRNA from 1 species
GACGAACGCUGGCGGCGUGCUUAACACAUGCAAGUCGAACGGUAAGGCUCCAGCUUGCUGGGGUACACGAGUGGCGAACGGGUGAGUAACACGUGGGUGACCUGCCCUGCACUUCGGGAUAAGCCUGGGAAACUGGGUCUAAUACCGGAUGGGACCGCACCGUGAGGGUGUGGUGGAAAGUUUUUUCGGUGUGGGAUGGGCCCGCGGCCUAUCAGCUUGUUGGUGGGGUAAUGGCCUACCAAGGCGGCGACGGGUAGCCGGCCUGAGAGGGUGGACGGCCACAUUGGGACUGAGACACGGCCCAGACUCCUACGGGAGGCAGCAGUGGGGAAUAUUGCACAAUGGGCGGAAGCCUGAUGCAGCGACGCCGCGUGGGGGAUGACGGCCUUCGGGUUGUAAACUCCUUUCACCAUCGACGAAGGGUUUCUGACGGUAGAUGGAGAAGAAGCACCGGCUAACUACGUGCCAGCAGCCGCGGUAAUACGUAGGGUGCGAGCGUUGUCCGGAAUUACUGGGCGUAAAGAGCUCGUAGGUGGUUUGUCGCGUCGUCUGUGAAAUUCCGGGGCUUAACUCCGGGCGUGCAGGCGAUACGGGCAUAACUUGAGUACUGUAGGGGAGACUGGAAUUCCUGGUGUAGCGGUGAAAUGCGCAGAUAUCAGGAGGGACACCGGUGGCGAAGGCGGGUCUCUGGGCAGUAACUGACGCUGAGGAGCGAAAGCAUGGGGAGCGAACAGGAUUAGAUACCCUGGUAGUCCAUGCCGUAAACGGUGGGCGCUAGGUGUGGGUUUCCUUCCACGGGAUCCGUGCCGUAGCUAACGCAUUAAGCGCCCCGCCUGGGGAGUACGGCCGCAAGGCUAAAACUCAAAGGAAUUGACGGGGGCCCGCACAAGCGGCGGAGCAUGUGGAUUAAUUCGAUGCAACGCGAAGAACCUUACCUGGGCUUGACAUAUACAGGAUCGCGCCAGAGAUGGUGUUUCCCUUGUGGCUUGUAUACAGGUGGUGCAUGGUUGUCGUCAGCUCGUGUCGUGAGAUGUUGGGUUAAGUCCCGCAACGAGCGCAACCCUUGUCUUAUGUUGCCAGCACGUUGUGGUGGGGACUCGUAAGAAACUGCCGGGGUUAACUCGGAGGAAGGUGGGGAUGACGUCAAAUCAUCAUGCCCCUUAUGUCCAGGGCUUCACACAUGCUACAAUGGUCGGUACAGUGGGUUGCCAGUCCGUGAGGGCGAGCUAAUCCCGCAAAGCCGGUCUCAGUUCGGAUCGGGGUCUGCAACUCGACCCCGUGAAGUCGGAGUCGCUAGUAAUCGCAGAUCAGCAACGCUGCGGUGAAUACGUUCCCGGGCCU